AAAAAGAUAAACCCUGGUUUCCGUGCCUAACGUUUGACCGUUCGUCUUAUUUAAAAAAAUUAAAAAGACAAGUCACGCAUAAAAUAUUAAUCAUGUUUUAUUAUCUAACAACAAUAAAAAUACGAAUUAUAAAAAAAUUUCAUAUAAGACGGACGAUCAAAAUUGAACACGGAAACCCAGAGUUUGUCUUUUU
rfam:Oryza sativa Japonica Group DNA, chromosome 5, cultivar: Nipponbare, complete sequence.